rnacentral:tRNA from 1 species
CUGAGAGUAGCUCAGUGGUAGAGCACUCGCCUAGUAUGCAUGAGGCUCUGGGCUCCAUCCCCAGCACUGGGA